GCCAGGUACCUGUAGUCCCAACUACUUAGGAGGCAGAGGCAAGAGGAUCCCUUGAACCUGGGAGCUCAAGACCAACCUGGGCAACAUAGUGAGACCCUAUCUCAA
rnacentral:sRNA from 1 species